rnacentral:rRNA from 1 species
CCUACGGGAGGCAGCAGUGGGGAAUAUUGGACAAUGGGGGGAACCCUGAUCCAGCAAUGCCGCGUGAGUGAUGAGGGCCUUAGGGUUGUAAAGCUCUUUUACCAGGGAUGAUAAUGACAGUACCUGGAGAAUAAGCUCCGGCUAACUCCGUGCCAGCAGCCGCGGUAAUACGGAGGGAGCUAGCGUUGUUCGGAAUUACUGGGCGUAAAGCGCACGUAGGCGGUUACUCAAGUCAGAGGUGAAAGCCCGGGGCUCAACCCCGGAACUGCCUUUGAAACUAGGUAACUAGAAUCCUGGAGAGGUGAGUGGAAUUCCGAGUGUAGAGGUGAAAUUCGUAGAUAUUCGGAAGAACACCAGUGGCGAAGGCGGCUCACUGGACAGGUAUUGACGCUGAGGUGCGAAAGCGUGGGAGCAAACAGGAUUAGAUACCCUGGUAGUCCACGCCGUAAACGAUGAUAACUAGCUGUCCGGGCACAUGGUGUUUGGGUUGGCGCAGCUACGACAUUAAGUUAUUCCGUCCGUCGGGUAGGUACGGUCGGCGAGAAUUAAACUAACUAAUAGUAAGUUAGUACGGCGUGAGACGUACGCCGACGGACGACGACGAGGGAGGUAGG